UUAUUUACCAGUUGCCUAAUUACGAAAAGUUUCAUAUGACAUUAACCUCAAAAAUGAUCUUUGAAAACAAACAACAACAAAUAACUCAAAGAAAUAACUACAUACUACAUAAUAAUAACUGAUAAUAAUGACUUUUAAUGGUAUAAAGGCUGAUGAAGUUUUAGACAACCAAUACAAGAUUCAGAACUCGGCAUCGCGAUAAACAAGUAAAAUUGUACAUUCAGGAACUCGUUUAAAUAUUAUAGGUUGAUUGAAGAAUAAUCUACAAUUGAUUAGAGCCUAUGAUGAUGCGAAGAUAAUUAAUAUCACCUAACUUUAAGAAACCAGCCUAAAGAAGUUUACAUGCAUCUCAUCUAACCAUUAUAGGUAAUAAUUUACAAAAUUAGUCAUUUUUGAUUAUAAUAUUAUGGUACUUAGGUACAUUUUAUCUUCUAGAUCAGUAGUGAUUUUUCAUAAUUUGAAUGAACUCACAGAUAGCAAUGGGGCACUGCACCGAAGCAGUAUUACAAAAUGUGAAAUAAAACUGUAGUACAAAU